rnacentral:lncRNA from 1 species
AAGCACUGAGGAUACACAGAUGAGAAAGCCUAGUGAUAGCCUCAGCAAGUAUAGGGUUUUUGUGAAAAGAUAUCAAAUAUAUAACUACAAUACAAUAAUAGAGACCUUAAUGGAGGUAUGUGCUAGGCACUGGGAGCUUGGUGGAGUGAAUACCUAGUUCCUGGCUGGCUGAGAGGAAAUGGGUACAUUCUCUGAGAGGAAGUAAAGUUCAUCUGUGAAUUAAAGGCAAACCAGGGAUUUGCUAGAUGACCUUAAGAAGACAGGAAGAUAGUACCUGAAAAUGCUUAAAAUCACUAAAGAACAAGAUGUGCUCAGUGAAAAGGAAAAAUGCUUGCUGACCAGCCAAGAAUAAAACACACCUCACAUGGUACAAUCUUCUUUUACCUCCCAGAUGACUCUACUGCCAUUUACUAAGGAUGCCAGAAGAGGUUUCCUGAGGAAGAAACAAUCAAUGUGAAUUAAUACCAUCCUGACAUUCAGGAGACCCAAAUAAAACAUGACUAUGUUUAAAAGAACGGAA